rnacentral:tRNA from 1 species
GCUGAAGUGGCUCAGUUGGUAGAGCAGCUGAUUCGUAAUCAGCAGAUCGUGGGUUCGAGUCCCAUCUUCAGCUCCA